GCAAGCCAUCAGACAACAUCCCCAUCUUUUAGGCAUGGGGUGGUUUCAAGAAAGGAAUGUCGGAUUCAUUUUUGGAGGGGGAAUAAAAUCAGACAGUCCACUGUGGUUGGCUGUGGCCCUGGAUCUGCCAAGACUGAGGCUAAAGAAUCCAGCCAUUUGAAACCUCUCAGCUUCCCAUUGUACUCUGCUGCUCCGCACAUUAUGGGUCGCAGAAGGUCUGGAAGCUAAGGAUGCAAGGCAUGGAACGACCCAGGAUGCCAGCAUGUUUUUUGGGCUGUGGAGGGGAACGCAGAGGACCCGGAGGAAACCGCAUGAAAACACGAGGAGAACAUGCAAACUCCACAUGGAGUCGUGGUGGAGACUCAAACCCUGCUUCUAGUAGUAUAAGCACGGGUUUCAGGACUGGAGUUCCUGCCAUGUGUGAAGUUCUCCCAGUGUCCCCCAGGGAUUCCCCCCACAUUGUCUCUACGUAUGGACACAUGAAGACCACAGGGAUCAUCAGAUUGCUUGUCUCUAUGACGUUUUUGUAGAAAACACAUAACAAAACCACGCAUGGCUCUCUUCAGCUGGAGCUGUUAAAAAAUGUGCCACAGCUCAUUGCACAAAACAGAAACGAAUUUUAAUCAAAUGGAACAUGGUGUAUCAUGUUUAGCGUUUGCUCUGCAUUUUCUUUGAUGUACAAUGUUUUAGCCAGUUUCAAGCUCGGCUCCUACUCUGCCACAAUGUAUGACUGAAUGUCAUGUUCUUUAGGCAAAGGAGUUCCUCCUUUUAAGAUACUAUGCAUCUU